GCCCUGCAGCUCGCAUUGUUAUUCAGCAGGAACAGUUACAGGCAGAGCAUUUAGGGUGCAGUAGGGAGGCCUGUGGUUGGGGGUGGGGGUGGGGCUGGAUCCCACAGGCUUGCCCCUUUUUGGUGGAGACAGGGUGAGGUGGGAUAGUUCUGGAUAGAUAGGGAAGGAGGUUAUGAUCUCAUUCUGCCCCAAGCGUCACGAUUUAUUAAGAGCAGUAGGACUCUGGUUUUGACUGUCAGAUUCCUGCAGAGGCAUGGCUUUGAGCUCAGUAGACCAUCUUAGCCUCUAUUUGCAGCCAUCGCUGGAAUCUUGGGAGACUGCAGCAUCUGUACAGUGCACUGGGCAUUUCAGGAAACUGCUUGACUAAGUAAAACACAGCUAUCAACCUGUUGUUGAGAAAAUCUGACUUACGGAACGUUUUCCUUCAGGAAAUAGCAUUAAGAAAUCGAUCUGUCCACAUCCUGCACAGGUGUGUCACACGGUACAACCUGUUCUUCUUGGAUACUUGUUUUCUUGUGAUUGGUUGAAUCUAGGAAAUACAGGAACCAGGGGAUUCAGAGCAAACUGGUGAGGCCAGGCUGUGUUGAAGGAAGAGGGGGAUUCACUGAGAGUGCCGAAGAGGCUGCCUGUCUCAGAACGUUUGGAAAUUGGAAAAAUCAAAAUGUGCAACAGAGUAAAGAAAGCAGGAGGCUAAUUGCCAAAUGGAAGAUACAGUCAGGAUUUCCAGGUCCAAGGAGGAAAAGGCAGACACAAGGAAGGAGAGAGGAGUUUCUGCCAUGCAUUGGAGGGAGAAGAACACAGCAACCACGUGAGUGAGUUCUCCAGAUCAACAUGUAGAACUCUCGGCUCCUCAAGCACCAUGACUGCCUGCAUGCUGCUAUGCUUUCAAUGAAGAUGAUAAUGGACUGAAAAUACAAAACUGUAUGCCAGCUACAAUUAAAUGUUUGCCUUUGUAAGAGUUGCCUUGGUGAUAUAAGAUACAAUUUGCUAAACA